UUCUAAUCCCGCCAUGCACCG
rnacentral:miRNA from 1 species